UACGGGGGGGGGCAAGCGUUGUUCGGAAUUACUGGGCGUAAAGGGCGCGUAGGCGGCCUUCUAAGUCGAACGUCGAAAUCCCCGGGCUCAACCCGGGAACUGCGUCCGAUACUGGAAGGCUUGAAUCCGGGAGAGGGAUGCGGGAAUUCCAGGUGUAGCGGUGAAAUGCGUAGAUAUCUGGAGGAACACCGGUGGCGAAGGCGGCAUCCUGGACCGGCAUUGACGCGUGAGGCGCGAAAGCCAGGGGAGCAAAGCGGG
rnacentral:rRNA from 1 species